rnacentral:rRNA from 1 species
CGCCCGUCUGAGGGUCGGCUAGACCCAAAGCAAUCGUCUCCUAGAAUCGGGACGCGGCAAUCUGCCGUAUGCGACCCGCGGAGGCGCCCUGGGCUCUCGAGGACUCUUUCGGGUUCCCCGUGGCCUCAAAUUCAUGCAGCGCCGUCACUGCUCUUCGACCAGUUUAGCAUCGACGGCUCCGCCGCACGGCAGGACUCGGAUUGCGUAGCUUUCUCUCAAACGAGCCUGCCUGCAGCUCUUUAAGGCGACCGUGUGUUGUUAUCCCGGUGGAGCGAGCGCUGGUGACGCGCCCCAUUGCGAAAUGACAGGAGAUUUCCUUUCAUAUCUCCGACCUCAGAUCGGACGAGAUUACCCGCUGAAUUUAAGCAUAUAACUAAGCGGAGGAAAAGAAACUAACAAGGAUUUCCCCAGUAACGGCGAGUGAAGCGGAAAGAGCCCAGCACCGAAUCCCUCAGUGUCAUGCUGACGGGAACUGUGGUGUGAGGGACGCCACCAGUCGCACCAGAGGGUACCGAAGUCCUCCUGAUCGGGGCUUCACCCAGAGUGGGUGUAAGGCCUUUGCUGGUACCUCUCGGUGCGGCCGCGAGCGUCUCAGGAGUCGGG